rnacentral:rRNA from 1 species
AUUGAACGCUGGCGGCAUGCCUUACACAUGCAAGUCGAACGGCAGCACGGGUGCUUGCACCUGGUGGCGAGUGGCGAACGGGUGAGUAAUACAUCGGAACAUGUCCUGUAGUGGGGGAUAGCCCGGCGAAAGCCGGAUUAAUACCGCAUACGAUCUACGGAUGAAAGCGGGGGACCUUCGGGCCUCGCGCUAUAGGGUUGGCCGAUGGCUGAUUAGCUAGUUGGUGGGGUAAAGGCCUACCAAGGCGACGAUCAGUAGCUGGCCUGAGAGGACGACCAGCCACACUGGGACUGAGACACGGCCAAGACUCCUACGGGAGGCAGCAGUGGGGAAUUUUGGACAAUGGGCGAAAGCCUGAUCCAGCAAUGCCGCGUGUGUGAAGAAGGCCUUCGGGUUGUAAAGCACUUUUGUCCGGAAAGAAAUCCUUGGCCCUAAUACGGUCGGGGGAUGACGGUACCGGAAGAAUAAGCACCGGCUAACUACGUG